UACGGGGGGGAGCAAGCGUUGUUCGGAUUUACUGGGCGUAAAGGGCGCGUAGGCGGUCAGCACAAGUCAGUUGUGAAAUCUCCGGGCUUAACCCGGAAAGGUCAACUGAUACUGUGCGACUAGAGUGCGGAAGGGGCAACUGGAAUUCUCGGUGUAGCAGUGAAAUGCGUAGAUAUCGAGAGGAACACCAGUGGCGGAAGGCGAGUCUCUAGACAACUCCUGACACUGAGGCACGAAAGCUAGGGGAGCAAACAGG
rnacentral:rRNA from 1 species